rnacentral:misc_RNA from 1 species
AAGUCGUAACAAGGUUUCCGUAGGUGAACCUGCGGAAGGAUCAUUAACACGUAUCCAAACGUUAAAACCCCCCCCUGAUGAACUGAUCGGUUCAUCGAGCUCAAUGUAAUACAUUGGGUAAGAAAACCGAACAACUGUUAACAAUGGAUAUCUUGGUUCUC